GCCGCGUGGGGGAUGACGGCCUUCGGGUUGUAAACUCCUUUCGACAGGGACGAAGCUUUAUUGUGACGGUACCUGUAGAAGAAGCACCGGCUAACUACGUGCCAGCAGCCGCGGUAAUACGUAGGGUGCGAGCGUUGUCCGGAAUUACUGGGCGUAAAGAGCUCGUAGGUGGUUUGUCGCGUCGUCUGUGAAAUCCCGGGGCUUAACCUCGGGCGUGCAGGCGAUACGGGCAUAACUUGAGUGCUGUAGGGGAGACUGGAAUUCCUGGUGUAGCGGUGAAAUGCGCAGAUAUCAGGAGGAACACCAAUGGCGAAGGCAGGUCUCUGGGCAGUAACUGACGCUGAGGAGCGAAAGCAUGGGUAGCGAACAGGAUUAGAUACCCUGGUAGUCCAUGCCGUAAACGGUGGGCGCUAGGUGUAGGGGACUUCCACGUCUUCUGUGCCGCAGCUAACGCAUUAAGCGCCCCGCCUGGGGAGUACGGCCGCAAGGCUAAAACUCAAAGGAAUUGACGGGGGCCCGCACAAGCGGCGGAGCAUGUGGAUUAAUUCGAUGCAACGCGAAGAACCUUACCUGGGCUUGACAUACACCAGAUCGCUGCAGAGAUGUAGCUUCCCUUGUGGCUGGUGUACAGGUGGUGCAUGGUUGUCGUCAGCUCGUGUCGUGAGAUGUUGGGUUAAGUCCCGCAACGAGCGCAACCCUUGUCUUAUGUUGCCAUCACGUGAUGGUGGGCACUCAUGAGAGACUGCCGGGGUUAACUCGGAGGAAGGUGGGGAUGACGUCAAAUCAUCAUGCCCCUUAUGUCCAGGGCUUCACACAUGCUACAAUGGUCGGUACAGCGAGUUGCCACACCGUGAGGUGGAGCUAAUCUCUCAAAGCCGGCCUCAGUUCGGAUUGGGGUCUGCAACUCGACCCCAUGAAGUCGGAGUCGCUAGUAAUCGCAGAUCAGCAACGCUGCGGUGAAUACGUUCCCGGGCCUUGUACACACCGCCCGUCACGUCAUGAAAGUUGGUAACACCCGAAGCCAGUGGCCCAACCCUUUGGGGGGGAGCUGUCGAAGGUGGGAUCGGCGAUUGGGACGAAGUCGUAACAAGGUAGCCGUACCGGAAGGUGCGGCUGGAUCACCUCCUUA
rnacentral:rRNA from 1 species